GAUGAACGCUGGCGGCGUGCCUAAUACAUGCUAGUCGAGCGAACGGACGAGAAGCUUGCUUCUCUGAUGUUAGCGGCGGACGGGUGAGUAACACGUGGAUAACCUACCUAUAAGACUGGGAUAACUUCGGGAAACCGGAGCUAAUACCGGAUAAUAUUUUGAACCGCAUGGUUCAAAAGUAAAAGACGGUCUUGCUGUCACUUAUAGAUGGAUCCGCGCUGCAUUAGCUAGUUGGUAAGGUAACGGCUUACCAAGGCAACGAUGCAUAGCCGACCUGAGAGGGUGAUCGGCCACACUGGAACUGAGACACGGUCCAGACUCCUACGGGAGGCAGCAGUAGGGAAUCUUCCGCAAUGGGCGAAAGCCUGACGGAGCAACGCCGCGUGAGUGAUGAAGGUCUUCGGAUCGUAAAACUCUGUUAUUAGGGAAGAACAUAUGUGUAAGUAACUGUGCACAUCUUGACGGUACCUAAUCAGAAAGCCACGGCUAACUACGUG
rnacentral:rRNA from 1 species